rnacentral:rRNA from 1 species
GACUUGACAUGUCAGGGAUCCCGGCAGAGAUGUCGGCUCGUCAGGCUUCGGCCUGGCGUCCUGUCACAGGUGCUGCAUGGCUGUCGUCAGCUCGUGUCGUGAGAUGUUGGGUUAAGUCCCGCAACGAGCGCAACCCUUGCCCCUAGUUGCCAUCAGGUAAAGCUGGGAACUCUAGGGGGACUGCCGGUGGUAAGCCGGAGGAAGGUGGGGAUGACGUCAAGUCCUCAUGGCCCUUACGUCUGGGGCUACACACGUGCUACAAUGGCCGGUACAAUGGGCUGCCAACCCGUAAGGGGGAGCGAAUCCCAAAAAGCCGGUCUCAGUCCGGAUUGGAGUCUGCAACUCGACUCCAUGAAGU